GAUGAACUCUAGCUACAGGCUUAACACAUGCAAGUCGAGGGGCAUCAGGAAGAAAGCUUGCUUUCUUUGCUGGCGACCGGCGCACGGGUGAGUAACACGUAUCCAACCUGCCCUUUACUCGGGGAUAGCCUUUCGAAAGAAAGAUUAAUACCCGAUAGCAUAAUGAUUCCGCAUGGUUUCAUUAUUAAAGGAUUCCGGUAAAGGAUGGGGAUGCGUUCCAUUAGGUUGUUGGUGAGGUAACGGCCCACCAAGCCUUCGAUGGAUAGGGGUUCUGAGAGGAAGGUCCCCCACAUUGGAACUGAAACACGGUCCAAACUCCUACGGGAGGCAGCAGUGAGGAAUAUUGGUCAAUGGGCGCUAGCCUAAACCAGCCAAGUAGCGUGAAGGAUGAAGGCUCUAUGGGUCGUAAACUUCUUUUAUAUAAGAAUAAAGUGCAGUAUGUAUACUGUUUUGUAUGUAUUAUAUGAAUAAGGAUCGGCUAACUCCGUGCCAGCAGCCGCGGUAAUACGGAGGAUCCGAGCGUUAUCCGGAUUUAUUGGGUUUAAAGGGAGCGUAGGUGGACUGGUAAGUCAGUUGUGAAAGUUUGCGGCUCAACCGUAAAAUUGCAGUUGAUACUGUCAGUCUUGAGUACAGUAGAGGUGGGCGGAAUUCGUGGUGUAGCGGUGAAAUGCUUAGAUAUCACGAAGAACUCCGAUUGCGAAGGCAGCUCACUGGACUGCAACUGACACUGAUGCUCGAAAGUGUGGGUAUCAAACAGGAUUAGAUACCCUGGUAGUCCACACAGUAAACGAUGAAUACUCGCUGUUUGCGAUAUACAGUAAGCGGCCAAGCGAAAGCAUUAAGUAUUCCACCUGGGGAGUACGCCGGCAACGGUGAAACUCAAAGGAAUUGACGGGGGCCCGCACAAGCGGAGGAACAUGUGGUUUAAUUCGAUGAUACGCGAGGAACCUUACCCGGGCUUAAAUUGCAGUGGAAUGAUGUGGAAACAUGUCAGUGAGCAAUCACCGCUGUGAAGGUGCUGCAUGGUUGUCGUCAGCUCGUGCCGUGAGGUGUCGGCUUAAGUGCCAUAACGAGCGCAACCCUUAUCUUUAGUUACUAACAGGUUAUGCUGAGGACUCUAGAGAGACUGCCGUCGUAAGAUGUGAGGAAGGUGGGGAUGACGUCAAAUCAGCACGGCCCUUACGUCCGGGGCUACACACGUGUUACAAUGGGGGGUACAGAAGGCAGCUAGCGGGUGACCGUAUGCUAAUCCCAAAAUCCUCUCUCAGUUCGGAUCGAAGUCUGCAACCCGACUUCGUGAAGCUGGAUUCGCUAGUAAUCGCGCAUCAGCCACGGCGCGGUGAAUACGUUCCCGGGCCUUGUACACACUGCCCGUCAAGCCAUGGGAGCCGGGGGUACCUGAAGUACGUAACCGCAAGGAUCGUCCUAGGGUAAAACUGGUGACUGGGGCUAAGUC
rnacentral:rRNA from 1 species